rnacentral:rRNA from 1 species
AACGUAGGUGGCAAGCGUUAUCCGGAAUUACUGGGCGUAAAGGGUGUGCAGGCGGGGAAACAAGUGGUGUAUGAAAUCUCCCAGCUUAACUGGGAUAGGUUAUGCCAUACUGCUUUUCUAGAGGACGAGAGAGGCGAGUGGAAUUCCUGGUGUAGCGGUGAAAUGCGCAGAUAUCAGGAGGAACACCAAUUGCGAAGGCAGCUCGCUGGGACGUUACUGACGCUGAGACGCGAAAGCGUGGGGAGCAAACAGG